GGAAAGGCGAAAAGAACCCCGGCAGGGGAGUGAAAUAGAUCCUGAAACCGUGUGCAUACAAACAGUAGGAGCGGACUUGUUCCGUGACUGCGUACCUUUUGUAUAAUGGGUCAGCGACUUACAUUCAGUGGCAAGGUUAACCGUAUAGGGAAGCCGUAGAGAAAUCGAGUCAGAACAGGGCGAUCAGUCGCUGGGUGUAGACCCGAAACCAAGUGAUCUACUCAUGGCCAGGAUGAAGGUGCGGUAACACGCCCUGGAGGUCCGAACCCACUAAUGUUGAAAAAUUAGGGGAUGAGCUGUGGGUAGGGGUGAAAGGCUAAACAAACUUGGAAAUAGCUGGUUCUCUCCGAAAACUAUUUAGGUAGUGCCUCAAGUAUCACCUUCGGGGGUAGAGCACUGUUAUGGCUAGGGGGUCAUUGCGACUUACCAAACC
rnacentral:rRNA from 1 species